rnacentral:rRNA from 1 species
GAUGAACGCUGGCGGCGUGCCUAAUACAUGCAAGUCGAGCGAACAGACGAGGAGCUUGCUCCUCUGACGUUAGCGGCGGACGGGUGAGUAACACGUGGAUAACCUACCUAUAAGACUGGGAUAACUUCGGGAAACCGGAGCUAAUACCGGAUAAUAUAUUGAACCGCAUGGUUCAAUAGUGAAAGACGGUUUUGCUGUCACUUAUAGAUGGAUCCGCGCCGCAUUAGCUAGUUGGUAAGGUAACGGCUUACCAAGGCAACGAUGCGUAGCCGACCUGAGAGGGUGAUCGGCCACACUGGAACUGAGACAAGGUCCAGACUCCUACGGGAGGCAGCAGUAGGGAAUCUUCCGCAAUGGGCGAAAGCCUGACGGAGCAACGCCGCGUGAGUGAUGAAGGUUUUCGGAUCGUAAAACUCUGUUAUUAGGGAAGAACAAAUGUGUAAGUAACUAUGCACGUCUUGACGGUACCUAAUCAGAAAGCCACGGCUAACUACGUG